GGUGGGCAGCGUUCCGACUCGGGGCAGUUUGUUGAUGGAGAUAUUAAUAGCCAUCCUCGGGAGAUUUCGCUAGGGAAGCGGCCUGUUGAUUGUACUAUUGGUUCUGCCAUUGCUGUUGGUUCUUCUUCUUCGUUUGAUGGGUUUGUGUCUGCUGUUCGGUCUGUCAGUGUUCGAACUGAUUCCUUGGUCGUGGAGGUGGCUGACAAAUCAAACGGUCGUUCUUCUGAUUUUCCUGCCGGUGUUCAUCUUGAUGGCUAUGUAGUCGGUGCUCCAUCUGUGCUCAACCGUCCAAGAGUGGUGCCUUUGCGUGCGGCUGGUGCCUUUGGUCGGCCUACUCCUCCUCUUGGUAAGUUCAUCUUUUUAAAUGUGCGUGUGUUGCUGCGGCAGUUGGUGAUUUCCUUCUAGAUCUAUUUCUAAUUUGUGUACAUGGUUGGUAUUUGAGUGAUGCCUACUCCUGUUAUGGAAUAUUUCCGGGUUUUGCGUGGCCGCCGUAAGCGGACGUUAAUGCAAUUGUACUGGUCGGGUCGGAAAAGAGGUGUUUUUUUUUCUCAUUGUGCAGUUUUCUUUUUCAGCUGCUGGUGUGUGUAGUCUUAUAUUUCUUUUCUCUUUUGCAGUAUGCGGGAUGCAACCUCCGUUUUCAAAGGAUUAUAUCCAAUUGCUUAAGGGUGGGUGCAUACAAUUUGUGGUUUGUGUGUAUGUAUUGCUUUUGGAAUGUGUUGCCAAUGCGGUCUUUUGUUUUUUAGCUACUUCUAGGGGGCGUUGGUACUAUGGCGGUCCGGAUUUGUGUUGCCAGAAGUGCGGGGCUUUCUUUUGGUUUUGUGAAGGAUCUGUACACCAUGCUGAUGCAACUUCUUGCUCUCCUGUUUACACAGGAUGUUGUCUGGCGGGCAGGAUUUCGUUGCCGAAAUUUGGUGAUUGGCCUGCUCCAUUGGACAUGCUGAUGCACUUUGAUGGGGAUGCGGUUUCCUCCCGGUUCAUGCGAUUAAUACGCCAGUAUAAUUCCAUGCUUUGUUUUACAUUGUUGGGUGCACAGGUUAAUCGUAGUAUCAAUGUUGGAGGUGCUCCGUACGUUUUCAAGAUGAAUGGGGUGGUCUACCAUUUUAUUGGUUGGUUCGUUGUUGCCGGCCGAGGGUGCAGCUCCCAAGUUUGCGCAACUAUACAUGGUGGAUUCUGCCGAUGAGUUGGACUGUAGGCUGAAUAUGUUUGAUAGAGAAGAAACUGCCUCGCUUGAGCCUGAUCCUGAGAUUGUUUCUUCAUUGAUAAACGUGCUCAAUGCACACCACCGUUUUAUGCACACGUUUAGAAUUGCUCGACAGAGUCUUUGUACUCCUGGUGUUUCUACGGUUUCGAUUCAUUUUUUGGGCGACAUGGCGGUGCCCAUGGUUUUCUGGCCCUACCGCUUCCGAGGUUGUUGCUCUUAUUGUUGGUAAUCUCACACCUGAAUGCAGAAGAUUUGACGUGAUUGCCGAGACGCGGUCUGGUUCAUUGAAACAUAUAUCUUCACUUAAUUGCAAUCUUAUGGCUCUUCAGUAUCCUCUACUUUUUCCAUAUGGUGAUAAGAGUUAUCACCGUGGUAUUAGAUAUGUUCAUGCUAAUGGUUCUUUGGCCACAUCUGAUGCAAAUGUGCAAGCUAAAAGAUAUAUGGACGACCAAGAUUCUGACGAUGAUGCCGACUGUGAUUCCGAGGAUGUGGAUGCUUCUCGUGGACAGGUUACCAUGUCGGAGUAUUAUAAGUACUAUGCUCACUAUCGUGAAGGUGAGGUCAAUCCUUACACAAGUUGUGGCUGGCUGAGUCAGCAGAUUGCCAUUAAUGCUUACUCUUGCAUAGAGGCUGAUCGUCUAGAGUACCAUUUCCGUAAGCAAGAUAAUAUUCGAUCUGAGACCUAUCAGGGCAUAUCUGACGCUUUGGGUGAAGGUAAUUCAACUAGCAAGAAUAUCGGUGUGUAGUUUAUACUGUAUGGCAGCUUUACGGGCGGUCCACGAUGUAUGCUUUUGAAUUAUCAUGACGGGAUGGCCAUCUGUCGACAGUAUGGUGCACCUGACCUAUUUAUUACUUUUACAUGUAAUCCUAGGUGACAAGAGAUUGCAGAUGCUCUUGCUGCCGAACCUGGCCAGACUGCUGCUGACUAGCCUGAUAUUACUACUCGAGUAUUUAGUAUGAAAUUUAAGGAAUUUCUUGAUGGAGUUAAAGAUGGUACUUUUUUCGGUGCUGUUCAAGCAUGUAAGAUGGUUUUCCCCUUUUUUUGCCGCAUGAUAAGUUGCUUGCUGUACCUAUUGUUAACUUAUUCUAUUCUGUUUUUCAUAUAUGCAGAUUUGUAUCUCGUGGAGUUCCAGAAGAGAGGUUUUCCACAUACUCACACGUUGGUGUGGUUGAAAGCAGAUACACAAGGACCCUUCUCCUUCGUUUAUAGAUGGACUUAUUUCUGCGGAGCUGCUGGAUCCUUUAGUUGACCCUUUAGGUUAUGCUCUUGUUGAUGAAUUCAUGGUACAUGGGCC